rnacentral:rRNA from 1 species
UACGAAGGGGGCUAGCGUUGCUCGGAAUCACUGGGCGUAAAGCGCACGUAGGCGGAUUGCUAAGUCAGGGGUGAAAUCCUGGAGCUCAACUCCAGAACUGCCUUUGAUACUGGCGAUCUUGAGUCCGGGAGAGGUGAGUGGAACUACGAGUGUAGAGGUGAAAUUCGUAGAUAUUCGCAAGAACACCAGUGGCGAAGGCGGCUCACUGGCCCGGUACUGACGCUGAGGUGCGAAAGCGUGGGGAGCAAACAGG